CAGUAGUCAUAAGCUGCAAGAAAGAAACAGAAGAGCGGUUAUCCACAUCUGCAACUCAGCCUGAGUUCACAAGGAAGAGGAGCAUGCGAUCCACUUCAUAGAGAGAAGGUGUCAUGCAGACAUGCAUGAUGAUCACACCAGGGUGGUCUUACUUUCUAUUGUGAGGAUGCAGACCUUUCCUGAUCCAGUCCAGGGCUCUUAAAGAAAUAAUUUGGACAACAGCAAUGCAGGUUUCCCUGUUCUUUGACAAGGUAAAGAUGAGCAGCUCAGCAGCAGCAAGUUAAGUCAAAACCUAAGCAUUAAUAGCUAUCAUUUUAUGACAGGUUAAUGACUAGCAAAAUACAUGCAGUGUACAAUUUUCAUCAGUGUAGCAUGGAAACUUACCAUGCUCUUGCGGGCCUCAGCAAAGAGCCUCUUCUCCUCUUCCAGUCUCUUCCUGGCUUCCUCCU